CCUACGGGUGGCAGCAGUUAAGAAUCUUGCGCAAUGGGCGAAAGCCUGACGCAGCGACGCCGCGUGGACGAUGAAGGCCUUCGGGUUGUAAAGUCCAUUAAGCAGGGAAGAAUAAGUUUCGUAUAAUACACGGAACGAUGACGGUACCUGUCUAAAGCCCCGGCUAACUACGUGCCAGCAGCCGCGGUAAUACGUAUGGGGCGAGCGUUUUUCGGAAUUAUGCGGCGUAAAGGGCGACUAAGUUAGGAGUGAAAGCCAUGGGCUCAAGCCAUGAAUUGCACCUAAAACUGAUUCUCUUGAGUUCGGGAGAGGAGAGCGGAAUUCCCGGUGUAGCGGUGAAAUGCGUAGAUAUCGGGAAGAACACCAGUGGCGAAGGCGGCUCUCUGGCCCAGAACUGACGCUGAAGCGCGAAAGCGUGGGGAGCGAACGGGAUUAGAUACCCCAGUAGUC
rnacentral:rRNA from 1 species